AGAAUUAAUUGUGAAGACGCCUUGAUAUCACGAUGAAGUCUAUUCUCUUUGCUUUGGUCAUCUUCGCUGUGGCUAUGCAGGUAUUUUCGGAUAACUUACCCGUUAAGGUUGACGCAGGCAAGGAGAAAUUUCUCACUAGCCUGUUCAACAUAACCACCAUCGUGUGCAGUACUGUCGUAAAGCCAGUUCAGACUACACUGACCAGUCUGGUAUUCAAGUGCCCAGUGUAAGGUCCUACUUAUGAAUGGAGGAGUAAGAUCUGCUAGUCGACCAGCUGACAUUUAAUUGUAAUUCAGUACUUUGGCUUUGAUUCUUUUUUCUUCUUACUACAAUAAAAUGGAUUAAAC